UCGUUUUAGUUGGAGAACGUAAUUCACUAGCUAUUGAGUAUGACUAUAGCUCUGAGUGAAUGCGUGCUGGCGAUCUAAUACAUGCCAGUCGACAGCCUUACAUUAUAGUAAGUCUGUGGCGUAGUUGUGAGCAAGAGCGGAGGUGUUAAGCCUAGGGUUUGACAUAAAGAGGACCUAUACUUUUCCGAAAAUAUUGUUCUGGAAUAAAAUGUCAAAUACUGUUCGAGCGACUAUUCGAUUAUGUGGGGCCUUUAUGGUCGAUUAGAUAGUCUCUCGUGGCAAAAAGAAAGUUUGCCCGGGUCGCAUCUCCGUGCGGUCUGGUUAUGAUACGUAGAUAGUAUUAGCCAAUAACCGUAGGUGAACUGAGAGGUUCUACACCCACAUCGUUAAUGAGAAAAACGAUCGGGGCAUAUUCCCCGACUGCAGUAGUGAAUCUUGACCAAUGGGCUGUUGCCUAAGUUUGUCGUCGGCGGGUGAAGCUAUCAGCUUCAUAGGUCUAUUGAGAAAUAUAAUGAGCUAAUCUCGACAGAGAAUGAGUGACUAACAACGUGCCAGCAGUUGCGGCAAGACGUUGAACUCGAAGCGUUACUGGUCCUGAUUGGGCGUAAAGUAUAGCUAGGCGGCUAACGUAGUUAUGGUUUAUAAACGGGCGGUUAGAACGUGCACUCCAUAAAACCGUUAUGCUUGGGAUAUAUCGUAGGUCUUUCGGUACGCGCACCUUAGCGAUAAAAUGCGGAAAGGGUGCUAUGGACAUUCCAGUGGCCACGGCGGGGCUCAGAUAUAUCCGACGCUGAACUAUUAAAGUGUGGGGGCCAAAAAGGAUUAGGGACCCUUGUAGCCCACACCCUGAAUUCAUGAACAUUGAUCGGUAUUUAAUGGUACUGAUUCAGCUUACGCGUAAAUGUUUCGCCUGGGGAAUAAUACCGCAAGGUAGAAAGCUAAUGAGAUUGGCGGGAGCUUGUAUAAACAAUGGGGCACGUGGCUCAAUUCGACAAUACACGUAAAAUCUUACCCGUAAGAUGUGAGGUGCGUUACGUAAUCUGUAGUUUCUACGUAGACGCGACAACGCCUAAGUUGCGUCUGGUUAUGUAAUCGCGACUAUAGACAGAACACGAUAAAUAUGUGCUGGCUGCGUAAACGACCUCUGGGUGCUGCAUGGCUGUCGUAAAUUCAUGCCGUGGGGUGUGGUUUUUGGUAACUGAAUGAAUGCGACCUAUGGACUGCUUAGCGCGUUUUGCUGGGUCUUGGUUAAGACUCGAUUUCGCGGUUGGGUAGUCUUCGGGACCAACCGUAAGUCUAUAUCGUUGCGGAGGUCCCAAGGUCUAGGACACGUCAAGUCAACAUGGUCUUAAUAUGCGGGGCUGCACAUGUGCCACAAGGGCAAAGACAAAAUGAUGCUAAGGUGCGAGCCAAAGCAAUCUUCUAAAAAUUGUCACAGUUCAGAUUGUACGUUGCAAAUCAUGUACAUUAAGUAGUAAUUGUUAGUAAUCGUACCUGGGUAAAGUGCCACGGUGAAUGUUAUUCGAGCUUUGCACACACCGCCCAUCACGCUAGGGGAGAGACCGGUGCUGGAAGAAUUAUCUUACAGUUUGCGGACUGGGGGUUUUUAAAAGGAAACGGUUUCAACCAGAGCUAAGUUGACACAAGGUAGCGGUAGUAGAAACUGCUGCUGGAGUAGCUAUCAAAGUGGGAUAAUGUACC
rnacentral:rRNA from 1 species